rnacentral:rRNA from 1 species
CGUAGGACGAACGCUGGCGGCGUGCCUAACACAUGCAAGUCGAGCGGGACGACACGACGGACAGGAAGUUUCGGACAGACUGGAAGAUGUAUGUUCUAGCGGCGGACGGGUGAGUAACGCGUGAGCAACCUGUCCUCACAGGGGGAUAACACAGCGAAAGUUGUACUAAUACCGCAUAAGACCACGGCGAGACAUCUCGCAGGGGUCAAAGGAGCAAUCCGGUGAAGGGUGGGCUCGCGUCCGAUUAGAUAGUUGGUGAGGUAACGGCCCACCAAGUCGACGAUCGGUAGCCGACCUGAGAGGGUGAUCGGCCACAUUGGGACUGAGACACGGCCCAAACUCCUACGGGAGGCAGCAGUGGGGAAUAUUGGGCAAUGGGGGAAACCCUGAACCCCCAGCAACGCCGCGUGAGGGAAGAAGGUUUUCGGAUCGUAAACCUCUGUCCUAUGUGAAGAGUAAGAGACGGUAGCAUAGGAGGAAGCCCCGGCUAACUACGUGCCAGCCGCAGC